GUGCUCACUUUGGCAGCACAUACACUAAAACAGGAGGAUCCAAAGAACAUUAGCAUGGCCCCGGCACAAGGAUGAGACACAAAUUCUUGAACCAUUCCAUAUUUAA
ensembl:snRNA U6 U6 spliceosomal RNA